UAAUAAUCACAUUGUUUUUAUCUGCGAGAGUCUCCAACUUACUAAUCACUGUUUUUUCCUCUUCAAGGGGGGUACUUGCUAGUUAGAGGAGAUUAAAGGAUGAGUUGAAUAACUAGAUGUAGAUGGAAAUAAUGGCUACAUCAUUUUGUUGAUUAUAAAAUUAAAUGGUAGACUAUUUACACAAAUAAAAUUAUUUUCAGUGUUCAUAUUUUAGUAAGAAUGCAGAGAAAGAGAGAUAGAAAAGUAGUUGAAUAUUUUGAAAUAAUUGAUAAGAGAACUUAUUUUCCAACACAAUAGGUGAUUUUCCUUGAGAUUUAUUGUCUGUGGAUUUUAAAAACAAUAGCAUCUAAAGAUUUGGAUGGUUGAUUGAGCGCAUAGUUCUUGGUAAGAUGAGUAAUAGAUAUGUUUUGGAUUUGGAGGGGAAUGGUUAGAACAUUCAGAUACUAUGCUGGAAGUGACUCAAUGGUCACCCAACUCUGUCACCGGGUUGAAUUAAGCUGUAUUUUUCUAAUCGGUCAAUGUGAAAAUGUUUAUAUUAUAUACGCAUAUGUAUUAUACCAUAUUCAUAUUAAAAAUUAAGUAAGUUUGCAUGAAAGGAUUACAUUUAUUGGCUUUAUUAUGAUUACUUAAAAGGUAUAUUAUGGUUUGUGGUUGGUGGUUAAUGAUGUAAUUGGUGAAGGUGUCAAAAGGGUCUUGUUUGUCGGGCUGCUCCUCAGCGUAUCAAAAUUUGACUUCAGGUCGUUGUCAUGCGCCAAAGUGCUUGUUUUGGCUCUAAUGUGUCUUUUUCUCGUCUGAAAUAGACUUUUGCGAUAGCUUUAAGCAAUGGUGGGGAGUGUACAAGAUAUGAUUCAGAUUUGGCUUGUAGAAUGCAGCAAAAAUUAACCAUAACACAGUGAACUUUCUUACGGAAGAUUUUUAAAGUUACGGGGAAAUUGCUUGGAAGAAAGCAAGAGAAGUUUGGUUAGAUACCUGACAGAAAUGAAUCUGUAUAGAUACUCUUUUUUUCUUUCUUCUCACUGCAAUAUCUGCAAAUUCUUGAUAAAGAUUAUUUCUUUGUUUUAUUUCAAUGAUUGCCAAUUCAAAAUUUAGU
rnacentral:sRNA from 1 species